UCGGGGUGCCCGUGCAGGUGCUGGAGGGGCUGGACUACCUGCACACCAAGUGCAAGAUCAUCCACACGGACAUCAAGCCCGAGAACGUGCUGCUCUGCGUGCAGGAGCCCUACCUGCGACACCUGGCGGCGCAGGCCGCGCGCUGGGCGCGGGGGGACGGCCCCCCCCGCGGGGCAGUGAGCUCGGCACCCCAGGAGGAACCUGAGCGGCUGUCGCGGGCUCAGCGGCGCCGGCGGCGGCGGCGACAGCGGCGACAGCGGCAGCUGCUGGCAGAGAGACUGCGGGACCUGGAGCGGCUGCGCGACACCGCGGGGACACCGGGGACAGCCAGCGACACC